GACGAACGCUGGCGGCGUGCUUAACACAUGCAAGUCGAACGGUAAGGCCCUUCGGGGUACACGAGUGGCGAACGGGUGAGUAACACGUGGGUGAUCUGCCCUGCACUUCGGGAUAAGCCUGGGAAACUGGGUCUAAUACCGGAUAGGACCACUGCCUGCAUGGGUGGUGGUGGAAAGCUUUUGCGGUGUGGGAUGGGCCCGCGGCCUAUCAGCUUGUUGGUGGGGUGAUGGCCUACCAAGGCGACGACGGGUAGCCGGCCCGAGAGGGUGACCGGCCACACUGGGACUGGGAUACGGCCCAGACUCCUACGGGAGGCAGCAGUGGGGAAUAUUGCACAAUGGGCGCAAGCCUGAUGCAGCGACGCCGCGUGAGGGAUGACGGCCUUCGGGUUGUAAACCUCUUUCAGCACCGACGAAGCGCAAGUGACGGUAGGUGCAGAAGAAGGACCGGCCAACUACGUGCCAGCAGCCGCCGUAAGAC
rnacentral:rRNA from 1 species